UACGAAGGGGGCUAGCGUUGCUCGGAAUCACUGGGCGUAAAGCGCACGUAGGCGGAUCUUUAAGUCAGGGGUGAAAUCCUGGAGCUCAACUCCAGAACUGCCUUUGAUACUGGGGAUCUCGAGUCCGGAAGAGGUGAGUGGAACUCCGAGUGUAGAGGUGAAAUUCGUAGAUAUUCGGAAGAACACCAGUGGCGAAGGCGGCUCACUGGUCCGGUACUGACGCUGAGGUGCGAAAGCGUGGGGAGCAAACCGG
rnacentral:rRNA from 1 species